rnacentral:lncRNA from 1 species
UUUCAUUCAUUGGAGGCUAUAGUCUACCUACUCUUUUUGAGAGGAAAGACCCCCACCCCCAUUUCUCAUGUAGUGAUGUGUGGGACAGAAAGUCACAGACCUAUCCAUGGGGUGCUGGGGGAUCUCCACUUGCAGGCGUUACUACAGAUCCGGGUUUGAGCCCGGGUUGUGUCGCAGCUGGGUGUCCCAUGAGGCGGCGCACAAUUGGCCCAGCGUCGUCCGGGUUACAGGACGGUUUUGGCCCAGCGUCGUCCUGGUUACGGGACGGUUUUGGCCGGCCGGGAUGUCCUCGUCCCAUCGUGCCCUAGCAACUCCUGUGGCGGGCUGGGUGCAUGCGCGUUGACACG